CUUUUGCAAAUUUGGACACAUAGCGGAAGUUACAUUGCUGAAGCAUGGGAAAACCAAGAGGUCUAGAUGCUUUGCUUUUAUUACUUUUGAAAUCCCUGCAGAUGCUCAGAGGGCAGUCAAAAAGAUGGAUGGAAAACGUUUGGAUGGAAAAGUAAUUAAAGUAGAGCCAGCAGGCAAAUCCUAUUCUGAUAAUCGUCAUAGAGGGAGAAGACCAGUUCUUUCAAGAAAUAAAGUGAAACAAAGAAGUCAGAGCUAUGGAAGAGGAGCA